rnacentral:sRNA from 1 species
AAUCCGAGAGGCCCCCUGAUCAUUGAGACGGCGGAGGUGGUGUGCUAGACCAGUUUCGCGCGGCCGUUCGCCGUCCCCCGCCCAGUCAUACUCGGCGCCCCAGCUCGGUGCUGCCGCCAUCUUCUUGGAGGACAGGAGCAGAGGCGAAGGCUCCCCCUCCCCGUGAUCGCUCCGCACUCCCGCCACCACCUGCCCUCCCGCGACCGCCUCUCUCCUCCUCAGUGGGCACCUAUCUCCUUCUAACAAACGGCCUUCCCCCCACUCCAGUUACCCACCGCAAGGCGAAGAUUCUCAUUACCUGUUCCACUCUUAUAAGCAUAAGAAAACCGAGCUCAUAAGACGAAGCUUCACAAAAGAUGUCUAAGGUGAAUCAGGUCUAGGAAAAUCGACUCUCAUAAACAGCCUAUUCCUAACUGAUCUCUACCCAGAAAGAGUCAUACCUGGAGCAGCAGAAAAAAUUGAAAGAACUGUCCAGAUUGAGGCUUCAACUGUUGAAAUUGAAGAGCGAGGGGUCAAGCUACGCCUGACAGUGGUAGAUACCCCUGGCUAUGGUGACGCUAUCAACUGCAGAGAUUGUUUUAAGACAAUUAUCUCCUAUAUUGAUGAGCAAUUUGAGAGGUACCUGCAUGACGAGAGCGGCUUGAACAGGAGGCACAUCAUUGAUAAUAGGGUGCAUUGUUGCUUUUACUUUAUUUCACCUUUUGGACAUGGACUUAAGCCCUUAGAUGUGGCGUUUAUGAAGGCAAUACACAACAAGGUGAAUAUUGUGCCUG